rnacentral:rRNA from 1 species
AUUGAACGCUGGCGGCAGGCCUAACACAUGCAAGUCGAACGAGUGGCGGCCGGGUGAGUAAUGUCUGGGAAACUGCCCGAUGGAGGGGGAUAACUACUGGAAACGUUAGCUAAUACCGCAUACCAUCGGAUGUGCCCAGAUGGGAUUAGCUAGUAGGUGGGGUAACGGCUCACCUAGGCGACGAUCCCUAGCUGGUCUGAGAGGAUGACCAGCAAAGCGGGGACUGAGACACGGCACAGAUUCCUACGGGAGGCAGCAGUGGGGAAUAUUGCGCAAUGGGGGCAAACCUGACGAAGCAAUGCCGCGUGAAUGAAGAAGGCCUUCGGGUUGUAAAGUUCUUUCGGUAGAGAGGCGUUAACUACAGAAGAAGCACCGGCUAACUCCGUGCCAGCAGCCGCGGUAAUAC